rnacentral:rRNA from 1 species
CAACUCUUGACAUCCCCCUGACCGGUACAGAGAUGUAUCUUCCCCUUCGGGGGCAGGGGUGACAGGUGGUGCAUGGUUGUCGUCAGCUCGUGUCGUGAGAUGUUGGGUUAAGUCCCGCAACGAGCGCAACCCUUGUCCUUAGUUGCCAGCAUUUGGUUGGGCACUCUAAGGAGACUGCCGGUGACAAACCGGAGGAAGGUGGGGAUGACGUCAAAUCAUCAUGCCCCUUAUGAGUUGGGCUACACACGUGCUACAAUGGACGGUACAAAGGGCAGCAAAGCCGCGAGGUGGAGCCAAUCCCAGAAAGCCGUUCUCAGUUCGGAUUGCAGGCUGCAACUCGCCUGCAUGAAGUCGGAAUCGCUAGUAAUCGCAGGUCAGCAUACUGCGGUGAAUACGUUCCC